UAGAGAACACUUGGUUUCUCAGCAGGAAUUCUUCUCCAACUCUCUCCCUCUCUUUUGAUCCCAUCAAAACCCUAAUCCCUGUCUGCAAAAUCCUCGAAUUGUCUACGUUUUUGUUCCGGUUCUAGCUGAUUAUUCGUCGUAAUGAUAGCCGCAGGAUCCAAUUCUCGUGAAUAGUACAGAAAACCCUACGUUUUUUUAACACUAUACAGUCUUUGAUUAUCCGGUCGAUUCUCCUUUUCUUGGGGGGAUUUGAUCGGUUUCUCGAAGCGGGUUGGAUUCGUGAAAUGCUUUCAAUUCCAAGAUGAAGUUGAAGCGAAGGAGGGCACUAGAAGUGCCUCCAAGAAUUAGAUCCUUCAUCGAUAGUGUUACCGCUGUUCCACUCGAGGAUAUUGAAGAACCCCUCAAAAGUUUCAUUUGGGAGUUUGAUAAGGGAGACUUCCAUCAUUGGGUGGAUCUUUUUAAUCAUUUUGAUUCAGUUUUUGAGAAGCACAUAAAAUCAAGGAAGGAUUUGCAGGUUGAGGAUAAUUUUCUGGACUCUGAUCCUCCUUUCCCAAAAGAAGCUGUUGUUCAAAUUCUUCGUGUUAUAAGAAUAAUUUUGGAGAAUUGCACAAAUAAGCACUUCUAUAGUUCUUAUGAGCAGCAUCUUUGUUUACUGCUUGCUUCCACUGAUCCGGAUGUUGUUGAGGCAUGCCUACAGACUUUGGCUGCUUUUUUGAAAAAAACAAUUGGCAAAUACUCCAUUAGAGAUGCUUCUAUGAGCUCAAAGUUAUUUGCUCUUGCACAAGGUUGGGGUGGAAAGGAAGAGGGGCUUGGGUUGAUUGCGACUGCUGUACAGGAUGGUUGUGACCCUAUUGCCUAUGAGUUGGGUUGCACCAUGCAUUUUGAAUUCUAUGCUUCCAGUGAGUUGUCCUGCGAACUCCCUGCUGCAGAACAUUCAAUGCAGGGUUUACAAAUCAUUCAUCUACCUGACAUCAAUAGUCGCCUAGAGACUGAUCUAGAGCUCUUAAGCAAUUUAGUUGCAGAAUACAAAGUACCCACCAGUUUAAGAUUUUCUCUAUUGACAAGAUUGCGGUUUGCAAGGGCUUUUGGCUCUUUAGCUUCUCGGCAGCAGUAUACCUGCAUCCGUUUGUAUGCCUUCAUAGUUCUUGUUCAAGCAAGUGGUGAUGCAGAUGACCUAGUAUCUUUCUUUAACACCGAGCCUGAGUUUGUCAAUGAGUUAGUGUCAUUGUUAAGCUAUGAAGAUGCAGUUCCUGAGAAGAUUCGAAUUCUAUGCCUGCUUUCUUUGGUUGCUCUUUGUCAAGAUAGGUCUCGUCAGCCUUCUGUGUUGACUGUUGUCACAUCUGGUGGUCACCGUGGAAUCCUAUCCAGCCUAAUGCAAAAGGCCAUUGACUCCGUUAUUAGUGAUGCCUCGAAGUGGUCUGUAGUUUUUGCUGAGGCACUGUUAUCCCUUGUCACUGUUUUGGUUUCAUCUUCUUCAGGUUGCUCAGCCAUGCGUGAAGCAGGAUUUAUUCCUACUCUUCUACCCCUCCUUAAAGAUACAAAUCCGCAACACUUGCAUUUGGUAAGCACAGCUGUGCACAUUCUAGAAGCUUUUAUGGAUUACAGCAAUCCAGCUGCUGCAUUGUUCAGAGACUUGGGUGGUUUGGAUGAUACCAUCUCUCGUCUGAAGGUGGAAGUGUCACGCAUAGAAAAUGGUUCAAAGCAACCAGGUGAAAGUUCUGAUUGUGGUGCGAGGAGUAAGCAAGUGGUUGCAGGUGCCUCCAAUCAGCUAGAUGAUAUGCAGCCUCUGUAUUCUGAAGCAUUAGUUUCGUAUCACAGGCGAUUGCUGACAAAAGCUUUACUGCGUGCUAUAUCCCUUGGAACUUAUGCCCCUGGAAAUACCACACGUGUUUAUAGCUCAGAGGAGAGUUUGCCUUGUUGCUUACGCAUAAUUUUUCAAAGGGCAAAAGAUUUUGGUGGUGGGGUGUUUUCACUUGCAGCUACUGUCAUGAGUGAUUUGAUUCACAAAGAUCCCACUUGUUUUCCUGUCUUAGAUGCAGCUGGUCUUCCUUCUGCCUUCUUGGAUGCUAUAAUGGAUGGUGUUCUAUGCUCAUCUGAUGCCAUAACAUGCAUACCUCAGUGUUUGGAUGCUUUGUGCCUAAACAAUAAUGGCCUUCAGUCCGUUAAAGAUCGCAAUGCUUUGAGGUGUUUCGUGAAAAUAUUUACUUCAAGAAUGUAUUUGCGUGCCCUCACUAGUGACACCUCUGUAUCCUUGUCUAGUGGACUGGAUGAACUAAUGCGCCAUGCUUCUUCAUUGCGCGGGCCUGGAGUGGAUAUGUUGAUUGAGAUCUUGAAUGCCAUAUUGAGAAUUGGAUCUGGGGUUGAUGCUUCUCACUUGUCAACUGAUCCUUCAUGCUCUUCUACUCCUGUUCCCAUGGAAACUGAUGGUGAAGAGAGGAACUUGGUUCUUUCAGAUGAUAGGGAAAUAUCCAAGAUAGAUAAUUCAGACCAGACCACCGAGCCAUCUGCUGAUUCCUCAAUAGUUAAUAUUGAGUCAUUCCUGUCUGACUGUGUGAGCAAUGUUGCUCGACUUCUGGAAACAAUACUGCAGAAUGCCGAUACAUGUCGUAUAUUUGUAGAGAAGAAGGGGAUUGAAGCUGUUCUGCAGUUAUUUACUUUGCCUUUAAUGCCUCUGGCAGUGUCUGUUGGUCAGAAUAUCUCCGUUGCCUUUAAGAACUUCUCACCACAGCAUUCAGCUUCUCUUGCUCGGGAAGUAUGCUCAUUUCUGAGGGAGCAUCUGAAAUCAACAAAUGAAUUCCUAGCUUCAGUUGGAGGGACUCAGCUUGCCAUAGUUGAAUCUGCAUUGCAAAAUAAGGUUUUGAGAUAUCUUUGCAGUCUUGAAGGCAUUCUGUCCCUAUCUAAUUUUUUGCUGAAGGGGACUACUAGUGUGGUCUCAGAGCUUGGCACUGCAGAUGCUGAUGUAUUGAGAGAUCUUGGGAGCGCAUACAGGGAAAUAAUCUGGCAAAUUUCUUUAUGUAAUGACUCCAAGGUGGAUGAGAAGAAGAAUGCUGAUCAAGUACCUGAGAGUUCAGAGGCAGCUCCAUCUAAUGCUAUUGGAAGAGAGAGUGAUGAUGAUUUAAACAUUCCAGUGGUGAGAUACAUGAACCCUGUUUCCCUCAGGAAUGGUUCUCAAUCUCUAUGGGCUGGUGACAGGGAUUUUCUAUCAGUUGUUCGUUCUGGUGAAGGUUUGCACCGUCGUAGUCGACAUGGGUUGACACGCAUUCGGGGAAGAACAGGCAGGCAUCUGGAGGCUUUGAACAUUGAUUCUGAAGUUCCGUCUAAUGUACCGGAGACAUCUUCCCAAGACUUGAAAAAGAAAAGUCCCGAUGUUCUUGUUUUGGAAAUUCUUAACAAGCUUGCUUCAACGUUGCGCUCUUUCUUCACAGCUCUUGUCAAGGGAUUCACAUCACCAAACCGUCGUAGAGCUGACUCAGGGUCGUUGAGUUCUGCUUCAAAGGCUCUUGGAACUGGACUGGCUAAAGUUUUUUUUGAGGCUCUUAGUUUCUCUGGGAAUUCUACUUCUGUGGGGCUUGACAUGUCAUUAUCAGUGAAAUGUCGAUACCUUGGAAAGGUUGUGGAUGACAUGGCAUCAAUAACAUUUGACAGCAGGCGACGUACUUGUUAUACUGCAAUGGUCAAUAAUUUUUAUGUUCACGGUACCUUUAAGGAGCUACUGACAACAUUUGAAGCCACAAGUCAGUUGUUGUGGACAAUGCCACACUCUAUCCCCACAUCAGGUAUUGAGAAUGAAAAGGCGGGUGAAGUAAGUAAAUUGUCUCAUAGUGCAUGGCUACUUGAUACGUUACAGAGCUAUUGCCGGGUGCUUGAGUAUUUUGUUAAUUCUUCUUUACUACUACCUCCAAACUCUGCAUCCCAAGCACAGCUUCUUGUUCAGCCGGUUGCUGUUGGUCUUUCUAUUGGGCUAUUUCCGGUUCCAAGGGACCCUGAAGUAUUUGUCCGUAUGCUGCAAUCUCAGGUUCUUGAUGUUAUACUUCCUAUCUGGAACCACCCCAGGUUUCCUGGUUGUAGUCUGGGUUUCAUUGCUUCCAUUCUUUCACUUGUUACACAUGUGUACUCUGGUGUGGGAGAUGUGAAACAAAAUCGCAGUGGCAUUGCAGGGACUACCGGCCAGAGAUUCAUUCCCCCACCUCCUGAUGAAGCUACUAUUGCCACAAUUGUUGAGAUGGGUUUUACAAGAGCAAGAGCAGAGGAAGCACUAAGACGAGUGGAAACAAAUAGUGUUGAAAUGGCCAUGGAAUGGCUGUUUAGUCAUGCUGAGGAUCCUGUACAGGAGGAUGAUGAACUAGCUCGGGCACUUGCACUGUCCCUGGGAAGUUCAUCAGAAACAUCUAAAGUUGAUAAUGUUGACAAGUCAAUAGACGUACUGACGGAAAAUGGGCAGAUGAAGGCACCCCCUGUUGAUGAUAUUCUUGUGGCAUCAGUGAAACUAUUUCAGAGCAGUGAUACAUUGGCAUUUCCAUUAACAGAUUUGUUUGUUACGCUUUGCAAUCGGAACAAAGGAGAAGAUCGUCCAAGAGUGGCAUCUUAUCUUAUUCAGCAGCUGAAGCUUUGCCCUUUGGAUUUUUCAAAGGAUACUGGUGCACUGAGCAUGUUAUCACAUAUUAUAACAUUACUUCUGUUUGAGGAUGGAAAUACACGAGGAAUUGCUGCAGAGAGUGGUAUUGUACCUGCUGCAGUAGAUAUAUUGAUCAAUUUUAAGGCUAGAAAUGAGUCAGGAAACGAGCUUCUGGUCCCAAGGUGUAUUAGUGCUUUACUGCUUAUAUUGGAUAACAUGCUGCAGUCCCGUCCCAAAUUUUGUUCUGAAAGUAUGGAAGGAACUCCAGCAGGGUCUCUGCUGGAUUCGUCUGGAGAUCUUGCUUCCUUUUCAGUUCCUACAUCAGUUCAAGAGAAAAAGCCAGCUUCAAAUGCCCCUGUGAAAGACUCUGGUACAGCAUUUGAAAAAAUAUUGGGGAGGGCGACUGGAUAUUUGACUGCUGAAGAGAGUCAUAAGGUGCUGCUAGUUGUUUGUGACUUGAUAAAACAGCAUGUCCCAGCUGUGAUCAUGCAGGCUGUUCUACAAUUAUGUGCUCGGUUGACAAAAACACACUCUCUAGCUUUGCAGUUCCUUGAAAAUGGAGGUUUGGCUGCUCUUUUUAGUCUUCCAAGAAGUAGUUUUUUCCCUGGAUAUGACACUGUUGCAUCUGCUAUUGUGAGACAUCUCCUUGAAGAUCCUCAAACACUGCAAACAGCUAUGGAAUUAGAGAUACGACAAACUUUGACUGGAAACGGGCAUGCUGGGCGUGUGUCUGUGCGGACUUUUUUGACAUCAAUGGCACCUGUUAUCUCCAGGGAUCCUGUGGUUUUCAUGAAAGCCUGUGGUGCUGUUUGCCAGUUGGAGACAUCUGCAGGUAGGACCUUUGUUGUGUUAUCUAAGGAAAAAGAGAAGGAAAAGGACAAAUCAAAGACAUCUUUUGUUGAAGCUGGAUUAUCUUCCAAUGAAUGUGUCCGGAUUUCUGAAAAUAAAAUUCAUGAUGGAUCAGGGAAAUGCUCUAAGGGCCACAAAAAGAUCCCUGCCAAUCUCACUCAAGUAAUGGAUCAACUUCUUGAUAUAGUCUUAAAAUACCCUUCAGCGAAAAGCCAUGAAGGUAAUGUGAAUAACUUAUCUUCUAUGGAGGUUGAUGAACCUGCUACAAAGGUGAAGGGUAAAUCGAAGGUUGAUGAGACAAUGAAAUUAGAGUCCGAUUCCGAAAGAUCUGCAGGACUUGCUAAGGUGACUUUUGUCCUCAAGUUAUUAAGUGACAUUCUUCUGAUGUAUGUACAUGCAGUUGGAGUUAUACUUAAGCGGGAUCUGGAAUUGUGUCAACUCCGGGGAUCUAAUCCUCUGGAUGGUCCUGGAAAUGAGGGGGGAGUAAUUCAUCAUAUUUUACAUCGGUUACUUCCACUUUCUAUUGAUAAAUCUGCAGGACCUGAUGAAUGGAGAGGCAAGUUGUCUGAAAAAGCUUCAUGGUUUAUGGUUGUUCUGUGUGGUCGAUCUAGUGAAGGUCGUAGGCGAGUAAUUGGUGAACUUGUGAAAUCCUUAUUCUCAUUUUCAAACUUAGAGAGCAAUUCUACCAAGAGCAUUUUAUUGCCAGAUAAGAAGGUCUGUGCUUUUGUUGAUUUGGUGUAUUCUAUUUUGUCAAAAAACUCAACAUCCAGUAACUUGCCUAGCAGUUCUGGAUGCUCACCUGACAUAGCAAAAAACAUGAUAGAUGGAGGAAUGGUUCAAUGCUUGACUAGCAUUCUUCAAGUGAUUGAUUUGGACCAUCCUGAUGCUCCUAAAAUUGUGAAUCUUAUACUUAAGGCCUUGGAAUGUUUAACGAGGGCUGCUAAUGCUAGUGAACAAAUUUUUAAAUCUGAUGGUACGAACAAAAAAAAACCCAUGGGUUUAAGUGGAAGACCUGAUGAUCAGUCAACUGCACCAUCAGCUGCUCAUACUGUGGAGCAUAAUCAAAAUACAAACAGACAAGAGGAAGCCAGAGUUGCAGAGGAGAAUGAACAACAGAAUCAAGGAGCUUCUCAAAAUGAAGGUAACCAUGAUGCGAAUCCUAAUGAGUCUGUAGAGCAAGAUAUGAGAAUAGAAGUGGAGGAUACAACGGUUACCAAUCCACCUGUGGAGCUUGGGAUAGAUUUUAUGCGUGAAGAGAUGGAAGAGGGUGGUGUUUUGCACAACACUGACCAAAUUGAUAUAAAUUUUCGUGUUGAGAACAGAGCUGAUGAAGAUAUGGGUGAUGAGGACGAUGACAUGGGUGAUGAUGAUGAGGAUGAUGAGGUUGAGGAUGAGGAUGAGGAUAUAGCGGAAGAUGGUGGGGGCAUGAUGUCUCUUGCUGAUACGGAUGUGGAAGACCAUGAUGAUGCGGGCUUGGGAGAUGACUAUAAUGAUGAGAUGAUUGAUGAAGAGGAUGAUGAUUUUCAUGAGAAUCGCGUCAUAGAGGUAAGAUGGAGGGAAGCCCUUGAUGGGUUAGAUCAUUUGCAGGUACUUGGGCAACCUGGGUCUGCAGGUGGUCUAAUUGAUGUUGCAGCUGAACCUUUCGAAGGAGUUAAUGUGGAUGACCUUUUUGGUCUUCGGAGGCCUUUAGGAUUUGAGCGCCGCCGUCAAACAGGUGGUAGGUCUUCCUUUGAGCGAUCUGUUGCAGAAGUGAAUGGUUUUCAGCAUCCCCUUCUUUUAAGACCAUCCCAGUCAGGGGACCUGGUUUCAAUGUGGUCAUCAGGUGGGAAUUCGUCCAGAGAUGUGGAAGCUCUGUCGUCUGGGAGUUUUGACAUUGCUCAUUUCUACAUGUUUGAUGCUCCUGUUCUUCCAUUUGAUAAUGUUCCAAGCAGUCUCUUUGGUGACCGUUUGGGUGGGGCAGCACCCCCACCUUUGACUGAUUAUUCUGUAGGCAUGGACUCCUUGCAGUUACCAGGACGAAGAGGCCCUGGUGAUGGUCGGUGGACUGAUGAUGGCCAGCCACAAGCUGGUGCUCAAGCUGCUGCUAUUGCACAGGCGGUAGAGGAACAUUUCAUUUCUCAAUUGCGCAGUGUAGCUCCUCCCAACGGUACUGAUGAAAGGCAGUCCCAAAAUUCUGAAGUGCAGGAGAAGCAACCAGAUGCCCCUCCAUCCAAUAGUGAUCCGGUAGCAGUGGAGGGUGCUAACACUAACAGUCAACAAAGCGAAGGGCAGCAUCAAGAAAAUGGUGAUGAAACCACGCUUAACCCCGUGGUUGAGAGUGUAACCUGUGGAGAGCAAGUUAAUUCAGAAUCCAUUCAUGCAGUUGAAUGUUUACAGGCACUUGAGCCUAUGCUGAUCCAACCAUUUUCACUUAACACCACACCAAAUGGGCAUGACAACAUGGAAAUUGGUGAAGGAAAUGGCAAUGCUGAUGAGCAGGUAGGGACAAUGCCAGAGUUUGUCAACUCAUCAACCGACUUUCAUGAUGAUUCACAAUGUGAUGGGGGUUCUGAAGCUCCUGCGAGUUUCCAUAAUGUGCUACUUCAGGCAUCCGAUUGUGAUGGAUCUUCAAGAACUGAUGAACAGGCCAGUAAUCAUGGUUUAGCAGUUUCUGGUUUGCCAAUGCCUAAUUCUGAAGAUUGUCAUGCAUCUCCCGUCCUCGCAAGUAUUGAUGUCGAUAUGAAUAAUAUUGAUGCUGGAGGAAAUCAAUCUGAGCAACCUGUGCUUGAUGUUACAGAUGAGCCUUUGUCAAGACAAAAUACCCUGGUUGCUCUUGACUCUAGUCUGGCUGAGCAGACUAGUAUGAAUAGUGAGGUGCCUGGUGCUAAUGCUAUUGAUCCCACCUUCUUGGACGCACUUCCUGAAGAUCUGCGGGCAGAAGUACUAGCUUCCCAGCAAGCUCAGCCUAUUCAGCCUCCGACUUAUGCACCGCCUUCUGCCGAAGAUAUUGAUCCUGAGUUUUUAGCUGCUCUUCCUCCUGAUAUUCAAGCAGAAGUUUUGGCCCAACAACAACAAGCUCAGAGGGUGUCACAGCAGGCUGAAGGACAACCAGUUGACAUGGAUAAUGCUUCAAUCAUUGCCACUUUUCCUGCUGAUUUGCGUGAAGAGGUACUUCUGACUUCAUCAGAAGCAGUUCUGUCUGCUUUGCCCUCUCCAUUACUCGCUGAAGCCCAAUUGUUAAGGGACCGAGUUAUGAGUCAUUAUCAAGCUCGCAGCCUUUUUGGAAGCAGCCACAGGCUAAAUAAUCGGAGGAAUGGGUUGGGUUUUGACAGACAGACCGUGAUGGACAGGGGUGUUGGAAUUACACUAGGCCGGAGGACAGCUUCCACCAUUGCAGAUGGCUUGAAGGUGAAGGAAAUUGAAGGUGAGCCACUUCUGGAUGUAAAUGCAUUGAAAGCUCUUGUCCGACUCCUACGAUUAGCUCAGCCCCUUGGCAAAGGUCUCUUGCAGAGACUCUUGUUAAACCUUUGUGCACAUAGUGUUACAAGAGCAAUACUAGUUCGUCUUUUGCUUGAUAUGAUAAAGCCUGAGGCUGAGGGCUCAGUCAGUGAAUUGGCAACAAUAAACUCCCAGAGGCUAUAUGGCUGUCAGUCAAAUGUUGUGUAUGGUCGGUCCCAGUUGUUGGAUGGUCUUCCUCCACUGGUCUUGCGUCGAACUUUUGAGAUUUUCACAUACUUGGCUACUAAUCAUUCUGCUGUUGCCAAUAUGUUAUUCUACUUUGAUCCUUCACUUGUUCCAGAGCAUCUGAGUCCAAUAUGUACAGAAGCCAAGAAGGAUAAAGGCAAGGAGAAAAUUGUGGAAGGACUUUCAUCAAUGCCUUUGUGGAGCUCUCUGGAUGGGGAUACUCCGUUGAUACUGUUCUUGAAGCUUUUGAAUCGACCACUUUUUCUGCGCAGCACUGCUCACCUCGAGCAGGUCAUGGGCCUUCUUCAAGCAGUUGUUUAUACUGCAGCAUCAAAAUUAGAGUACCAGCCGCAAUCUGAAGCGGCUACAGAAAAUCCCCAAGAUUUGCCAGGCAAUGAAGCUUCUGUUGAUGCCCAAAAAGAUCCUCCUUUAUCAGAACCAGAGUCUAAGCAAGAGGAUAGACAUGCUGGUGCUGAGUCAACGGCUUCAGAUGGAAAGAGGAGCAUUGAUAUGUAUAAUAUUUUUUUGCGAUUGCCCCAAUCUGAACUCCGAAAUCUGUGCAAUCUUCUUGGUCGUGAGGGGCUUUCAGAUAAAGUGUAUAUGCUUGCUGGUGAGGUGUUGAAGAAGUUGGCCUCAGUUGUUGCACCGCAUCGAAAGUUAUUUAUUUCAGAGCUUUCUGAAUCAGCCCAUGGAUUGAGCAGUUCUGCCGUCAAUGAGCUUGUCACUCUGCGGAAAACACACAUGCUGGGUUUGAGUGCUGGUUCCAUGGCUGGUGCAGCAAUCCUACGUGUGCUACAAGCACUCAGCUUACUCACUUCAUCUAGCGUUAAUGAGAGUACAGGAUUCAAGAAUGAUGGAGAGCAGGAGGAACAGGCUAUUAUGAAAAGGCUGAAUGUUGCACUUGAGCCCUUGUGGCAAGAGUUGAGUGAUUGCAUAAGUGUGACUGAGACACAGUUGGGUCAAAGCUCCUUCUCUCAGACUAUGUCAAAUAUAAAUGUUGGGGAGCGUGUCCAAGGCACGACGACUUCAUCUCCCCUUCCUCCUGGAACCCAGAGACUGUUGCCCUUCAUUGAGGCAUUCUUUGUUUUGUGCGAAAAGCUACAAGCAAACCAGUCCAUCACACAUCAAGAUCAUGCCAAUACAACUGCAAGGGAAGUCAACGAAUCUGCCAGGAGUUCUGCCUUUUUAAUCACAAAGUGCGGUGUGGAUUCUCAGAAGAAGUUUGAUGGUGGAGUUACAUUUACAAGGUUUGCUGAGAAGCAUCGCCGGCUAUUGAAUGCUUUUAUUCGACAGAACCCAGGUUUAUUAGAGAAAUCUCUUUCUAUGCUGCUGAAGGCACCAAGGCUAAUCGAUUUUGACAAUAAGCGAGCUUAUUUCCGUUCAAAAAUCCGGCAGCAGCCUGAACAGCACCAUUCUGGCCCAUUGAGGAUAAGUGUUCGGAGGGCUUAUGUUUUGGAGGACUCAUACAAUCAGUUGCGGAUGCGUCCCAGUCUGGACCUAAAGGGACGAUUGAAUGUGCAGUUUCAGGGUGAAGAGGGUAUUGAUGCUGGAGGUCUGACUAGAGAAUGGUAUCAAUUACUGUCAAGGGUUAUAUUUGACAAGGGGGCAUUGCUUUUCACUACUGUGGGAAACAAUGCAACGUUCCAGCCAAACCCCAAUUCUGUCUACCAGACAGAACAUCUUUCUUACUUCAAGUUUGUGGGCCGAGUGGUUGCAAAGGCACUGUUUGACGGGCAACUUUUGGAUGUUUAUUUUACUCGAUCAUUCUAUAAGCACAUACUUUAUGCCAAGGUGACUUACCAUGAUAUAGAGGCAGUUGAUCCUGAUUACUACAAGAAUUUGAAGUGGAUGUUAGAGAAUGAUGUGAAUGACAUUCUUGACCUGACAUUUAGCAUGGAUGCGGAUGAGGAAAAGCAUAUCCUUUAUGGGAAAAAUGAGGUUACUGAUUACGAGCUUAAACCUGGAGGAAGAAACAUAAGGGUUACAGAAGAGACAAAGCACGAGUAUGUUGACCUUGUUGCUGGACAUAUCUUGACAAAUGCCAUCCGUCCUCAAAUUGAUUCCUUUUUAGAGGGCUUCAAUGAAUUGGUAACUCAAGACCUUAUUUCUAUUUUUAAUGAUAAGGAGCUCGAGCUACUUAUAAGUGGACUUCCAGAGAUUGAUUUGGAUGAUUUGAAGGCCAACACAGAGUACACUGGCUAUACAGCAGCAUCUAUUGUUAUUCAAUGGUUUUGGGAGGUUGUUCAGGCUUUUAACAAGGAAGACAUGGCAAGACUGCUGCAAUUCGUCACUGGAACAUCGAAGGUCCCGUUGGAGGGUUUUAAGGCUUUACAAGGCAUCUCUGGCCCUCAAAGGUUUCAGAUUCACAAGGCAUAUGGAGCUCCCGAUCGGCUGCCCUCAGCUCAUACAUGCUUUAAUCAACUGGAUCUUCCCGAGUAUACCUCCAAGGAACAGCUUCAAGAACGCCUGCUACUUGCUAUCCAUGAAGCCAAUGAAGGGUUUGGCUUUGGCUGACCUGUGUUUUAUGUGGUGCGAUGGACCCGGCAGCGCUAGCAAUCUGCCUUCAAAGUUCCCAUAUAAAAGCGACUGGUCCAGCUUGACAAGAACAAUAAAAGUUCUGGAGAUUAAAAGACUUCAACCCAACAAAUCAAAAUUCAGCGGAUGAAAAUUAUAUGCUUUUGAGGAAUCGGGAGCUGUUGAGUUACAAUUGGCUAGAAAACGUUAUGUUUUUUGGAUUCUUGCCAUGUCAAUUGUCAUUGGUCAACUAGAGUAGAGAAGUGUGCAAAAUAUUAAUGCGCACAUAUUUCAUUGUUCAUAUUUUUGUUCUUAACAUUAUUUAGCAUUUGAGCUUUAUUAUCCUUUGCUGCCUUA